AUACGAAGGGGGCUAGCGUUGUUCGGAAUUACUGGGCGUAAAGCGCGCGUAGGCGGACUGAUCAGUUGGGGGUGAAAUCCCAGGGCUUAACCCUGGAACUGCCUCCAAUACUGUCCGUCUUGAGUUCGGGAGAGGUGAGUGGAAUUCCUAGUGUAGAGGUGAAAUUCGUAGAUAUUAGGAAGAACACCAGUGGCGAAGGCGGCUCACUGGCCCGAUACUGACGCUGAGGCGCGAAAGCGUGGGGAGCAAACAGGAUUAGAAACCCGAGUAGUCC
rnacentral:rRNA from 1 species